UUGCGUGAGGGAUAAGAGCGGUAUCCUUUUUCGUUUAUGGGAUGUUCAUGGAGGAGAAAUUUAGCGGUAACGAAAAGAUAUAGCGUAUAGCCCGACCGAAG
rnacentral:sRNA from 1 species